CAAAGCGUAUGAUGCAAAAUAUUAUCACUUAUACUACACACCGAAAUAAAUGUGGACAAAAUCUCCGCUUAUUAUCUGAAGCUUUG